UCCCGGCGGUCCAAGUCGCAUCCACAAUUAUUGGGUCUAAAACAUCCGUAGCUUGUUUUUUAAGUCUCUUGUGAAAUUCCAUAUCUCAAGUAUGGAGCGUGCAAGAGAUACUAUUUAACUAGAGACCGGAAGACGCAAAGAGUACGACGGAGGUAGCGGUAAAAUGUGUUAAUCUUUGUCGGACUAACAAUGGCGAAGGCACUUUGCGAGUACGGAUCUGACAGUGAUGGAUGAAGGCUAGGGGC
rnacentral:rRNA from 1 species